rnacentral:rRNA from 1 species
AGAACGAACGCUGGCGGCAUGCCUAAUACAUGCAAGUCGAACGAACUCUUCGGAGUUAGUGGCGCACGGGUGCGUAACGCGUGGGAAUCUGCCCUUGGGUUCGGAAUAACAGUUGGAAACGACUGCUAAUACCGGAUGAUGACGAAAGUCCAAAGAUUUAUCGCCCAGGGAUGAGCCCGCGUAGGAUUAGCUAGUUGGUGAGGUAAAGGCUCACCAAGGCGACGACGGGUAGCCGACCUGAGAGGGUGACCGGCCACACUGGGACUGAGACACGGCCCAGACUCCUACGGGAGGCAGCAGUGGGGAAUAUUGCACAAUGGGCGAAAGCCUGAUGCAGCGACGCCGCGUGAGGGAUGACGGCCUUCGGGUUGUAAACCUCUUUCAGCAGGACGAAGCGCAAGUGACGGUACCUGCAGAAGAAGCACCGGCUAACUACGUGCCAGCAGCCGC